rnacentral:rRNA from 1 species
CCUACGGGCGGCAGCAGUGGGGAAUAUUGGACAAUGGGGGCAACCCUGAUCCAGCCAUGCCGCGUGUGUGAAGAAGGCCCUCGGGUUGUAAAGCACUUUCAGUGAGGAAGAACGCCUGGUGGUUAAUACCCAUCAGGAAAGACAUCACUCACAGAAGAAGCACCGGCUAACUCCGUGCCAGCAGCCGCGGCAAUACGGAGGGUGCGAGCGUUAAUCGGAAUUACUGGGCGUAAAGCGCGCGUAGGUGGCUUGAUAAGCCGGUUGUGAAAGCCCCGGGCUCAACCUGGGAACGGCAUCCGGAACUGUCAAGCUAGAGUGCAGGAGAGGAAGGUAGAAUUCCCGGUGUAGCGGUGAAAUGCGUAGAGAUCGGGAGGAAUACCAGUGGCGAAGGCGGCCUUCUGGACUGACACUGACACUGAGGUGCGAAAGCGUGGGUAGCAAACAGGAUUAGAUACCCCGGUAGUC